GCCGGCGUAGCUCAGUUGGUAGAGCAACUGAUUUGUAAUCAGUAGGUCGGGGGUUCGACUCCCUCCGUCGGCUCCA
rnacentral:tRNA from 1 species